rnacentral:rRNA from 1 species
AGGCAGCAGUGGGGAAUAUUGCACAAUGGGCGCAAGCCUGAUGCAGCCAUGCCGCGUGUAUGAAGAAGGCCUUCGGGUUGUAAAGUACUUUCAGCGAGGAGGAAGGUGUUGAGGUUAAUAACCGCAGCAAUUGACGUUACUCGCAGAAGAAGCACCGGCUAACUCCGUGCCAGCAGCCGCGGUAAUACGGAGGGUGCAAGCGUUAAUCGGAAUUACUGGGCGUAAAGCGCACGCAGGCGGUCUGUCAAGUCGGAUGUGAAAUCCCCGGGCUCAACCUGGGAACUGCAUCCGAAACUGGCAGGCUAGAGUCUUGUAGAGGGGGGUAGAAUUCCAGGUGUAGCGGUGAAAUGCGUAGAGAUCUGGAGGAAUACCGGUGGCGAAGGCGGCCCCCUGGCUCGAUACUGACGCUGAAGUGCGAAAGCGUGGGGAUCAAACAGGAUUAGAUACCCUGGUAGUCCACGCCGUAAACGAUGUCUACUAGCCGUUGGGAGACUUGAUUUCUUAGUGGCGCAGCUAACGCAAUAAGUAGACCGCCUGGGGAGUACGGCCGCAAGGUUAAAACUCAAAUGAAUUGACGGGGGC